rnacentral:rRNA from 1 species
GAUGAACGCUGGCGGCGUGCCUAAUACAUGCAAGUCGAGCGAACAGACGAGGAGCUUGCUCCUCUGACGUUAGCGGCGGACGGGUGAGUAACACGUGGAUAACCUACCUAUAAGACUGGGAUAACUUCGGGAAACCGGAGCUAAUACCGGAUAAUAUAUUGAACCGCAUGGUUCAAUAGUGAAAGACGGUUUUGCUGUCACUUAUAGAUGGAUCCGCGCCGCAUUAGCUAGUUGGUAAGGUAACGGCUUACCAAGGCGACGAUGCGUAUCCGACCUGAGAGGGUGAUCGGCCACACUGGAACUGAGACACGGUCCAGACUCCUACGGGAGGCAGCAGUAGGGAAUAUUCCGCAAUGGGCGAAAGCCUGACGGAGCAACGCCGCGUGAGUGAUGAAGGUCUUCGGAUCGUAAAACUCUGUUAUUAGGGAAGAACAAAUGUGUAAGUAACUAUGCACGUCUUGACGGUACCUAAUCAGAAAGCCACGGCUAACUACGUG